CCUACGGGUGGCAGCAGUGAGGAAUAUUGGUCAAUGGGCGUAAGCCUGAACCAGCCAAGUCGCGUGAGGGAUGAAGGUUCUAUGGAUCGUAAACCUCUUUUAUAAGGGAAUAAAGUGCGGGACGUGUCCCGUUUUGUAUGUACCUUAUGAAUAAGGAUCGGCUAACUCCGUGCCAGCAGCCGCGGUAAUACGGAGGAUCCGAGCGUUAUCCGGAUUGAUUGGGUUUAAAGGGUGCGUAGGCGGCCUUUUAAGUCAGCGGUGAAAGUCUGUGGCUCAACCAUAGAAUUGCCGUUGAAACUGGGAGGCUUGAUGAUGUUUGAGGCAGGCGGAAUGCGUGGGGUAGCGGGGAAAUGCUUAG
rnacentral:rRNA from 1 species